UUUCCUUUCUUACUUCUCUCCUCUAAAUCUUUCUUUGUUGCCUUCGAUUUUCGACUUCACCUUCCAAAUCCUCGUUGUCCUUCACGGAUCUGGGUGGAGUUUGUUGUGGUCCGUUGAUCGUAGGUGCAGAUCCGGCCUUCAUUUUUCGUCAAUCAUGUAACUUUGCUAUAGAUCCAACCUCUGCUCAUCGGUCUGCAUCUGUUUGUCAUUCACGUGUAGGUCGUUCGCCAUUCAUGUGUAGUUCGUUUGCCAUUCAUGUGUAGUUUGUUUGCCGCGCCUCGCUGUUUGCGUGUAGGUCGUUCGCCAUUGGGUCGUCAACAUGGGUCUAAUAUGCUCUUCGGUUUUUCGAUCUACUUUUGGGUCUUCCGAUCUGGUUGUCGGUCUGGUGAUUUAUCUCCGUUUGCCAGGUUCGACGCAUUUGUCAGAUCUAUCGGUCUUAACUCAAAUCUGUUCAAAUCUUUGAAUUCUGGGUCAGAUCCGUUCAAGGUGGAUUGAGUGAUGCUGUUCACAAUUUUUGGGUGGGUUGUUAGCUCGAAAGAAUUAUGGAGCACGGUUUGAGAAUGCUGAGCCUAAGAUUGAUCGGGAGGCUGGUGGAAACAACGGUGUCUCAUACAAGCAAAUUCGUCUCGAAGACCUUUUCUUUCACAUCUUCUCCUUGUAAUAUAUGAUAAAGUAAAUUAACAUGCAGUGGAAGAAAACAAAAUCAAUAACCACUCUAAUUACACUUAAUUUGAGUUUUAAAAUAUGCAAUAAUUUUUUUCAAAAGAAGUAUUUCUGAGAACCAAUACCUUUGAUGAACCACUGAAAUUCUUGCUUCUCCCUACGAAUUAUACCUUUAAAUUCACAGUA